rnacentral:tRNA from 1 species
GGUAGUGUGGCCGAGUAUAGGUGGCGAGUUGUAGCCUCGUCGACGGGAAAAUGGCCCCACAGUGCCAAGUC